UUUUGACAGCCCUUCUUUUCUGUGACGCUGAGCCCCGACAUCUCGACCCCCAGGAACGGGGGUCAGGGCAAAGCCACUACCGUCGCCCCUUCAGGCCCACAGGGCUGGCGCCUAGGCAACAGACACCGGAAGUGCCUUUCCCGAAGUGCGCCGCCAAAGGGCCUCGGGUAUUCCAGACCCCCCGAGCGGAAGUGGUCGCCGAAGAGGUAACUUGUGGAAACGCGGGGCUCCGACUUGUCGUUCCGAGCUAGUCGGGACGCGGCGGAAUCCCACGGAUCUCCCUUUAGGGAAGCACCGCGUUUAUGUGGAAAACAUCGGCUUUCCGCAAGCGAUCUGGUGGCGGUAAGCGAAGCCCUGAGCUCCUUAGGAAUCCCUUCCUCAAAACAGCGCAGGGGAGGACUGCGCAAGUGCAGGUGUUGAAGAUCCUGAGAAAUGACACAGAAUCUCCUUCAGGGAACUCUUGGGAAUGUUGCAAGUAGCCAUGACAGGUAUACCUACUGAAAGAAGACUUACUUUCAUCAUCUGAAUCAAAUCCAAAGAGUGUCUGACAUUUCUUUUGUGCAAGGUUGCAUUCCAGAUAUAUCGUCAGGAUCAAGCUCUCCAGUGAUCUCAUCUAUAAGAGAGUCAAAUCCUUCAUCCAAAUCAUGCUGUUCUGCUGCCUUUUUUAGAUUAUCUAUAGAAUUUUCCAGUGUACUUUCGUUUAGAAACCUAAGUGCUGAUUUAUCACUCAGUAAUGCUACACAGUUCUUCUUAAUCAUUACGAAGUUCCAGAAUUCAGGAUCAAAAAACAAUCCCUUUUUUAAAAUUGGAAGUAAUUCAAAACGAACACGAUUUUGGACACAGCUUGUGCCUUCAUUAUAUUCUUCAUCUGGAUGUUUGUAAAGCUCUUCAACAGUAUGAUAAGCUUCCACGGAGCGCUCAAGAAAAAAUAUUGAGAGUGCACAAAUUCUGAGAAUCUCCAAAUCAUUUGGCAAAAAAUGUGCAAUUGUUUUAUAAAUUAGACAUUUAGUUUUGGGAUCAUCAUGAAGGUCUAGUUGUAAAGCACAACCACAUAUUUCAACACAAAUUUGUAAACCUUCUUCUUCAACCUGUAAAAAGAAAAACACUACUACUAAAUAUUUUUUAAGAUUAUUACACUGAUUUAUAUUUUUAAAAUACAAUUAAAAUGAAAGCUGAACAAACAGUAUUCCAAAUGUGCAGUUUUCCUCAAUGGGUACCCUUGUUUGACUUUUUAAACAUAUGACAUAAAUUGUUCUUUUUUAACUUGAAAGGAAUCUGUAAAAGUUAGUUUUCAAUUUAUGUAAUAAUCAAGUUUGAAAGGUCCUAUUGAGCAUAAUACAAACUGCUUCCUAAGCUUACGCUGAUUAAAAUACAAAAUGCUUUCUAAACUGAGUGAUUAAGAUGCCUAAAAAUCAAGGCCCCUGUUUAUUAUUUUAAGUAUCCAUCUCACAUUCUGUGGCAGAAGUGUUAAAUUAUAUGUAGAAACUUUCAUAAACCUGUAUGAAACUACAUUACUUAUUUUAUUACUUUAAGUAAUUUAUAAGGGAAGCAGUUUGGCCCACACAGAAAGUGCAAUUACAAUAAUAUCAAUAAUGAACCUACUAGCAGUUAUGUUCUGAAAAUGUUUCAAGCUUUGAAACUUUUGCCGGUGGCUCAAAGAUAACUAUAUCAGUUUUAACUUGGAAACUUGUCUAUCAAUCUUAAUUGAAGUUAUAAAUGUCUUCAGUGAUUUGUAAAAGUCUAAAUGCCAGUACAAAUAGAAAGAUACAAUAAUAUGUCUUUAAAGUUAUGUGUGUGUUACGUCAUCCUACAAAUAGAAUGUUAUAAAUGACAAUACUAUCUUGCCAACCUCAUGUCUUCUACUUUGUGUGCUGUGUGACCUUAACUACUUGCAGUUCCACAAAUUGACCUCAACUUUGCUUAUCAUACUCCCAGUUUUAUCAACAUAGUAAAUUCUUAACCAUCUCCUAUUCAUUCUUUAAAGAAUCAGUUACACUCUAGAAGUUUUUCUCGCCAUUUAUCAGAUCCAUCCUAUGUUAAGUUAAAAAUUCCUUUUCUUUUUUACUUGAGAGUAACUUAUACUCAUUUGUAAAAAGUAUGUAUAUAUUUUAAUAACUAUCUAUGUAUGUCUCUACCCCUUUGAAUUCCUAAAUCACAGGCAUAGUAUCUUAACUUUUUUGUAUCCUCCUAUCGUUAACGUAGCAGUUGGUAUAUAGUGACUUUUGAAUAAAUGUUUACAGAAUGAAUGGGAUCUGAUCUAGUACACUGACCUUAGUUUUCUGUUCUAAAUCUAUCAUUUCCAGUGGAAUCUUAUUCUAAAUUAUAAUGUCUUAUUUUCUCAUACAAUUAGCUAUUUCUACCCUAGAUUUUCACAGAUACAACAAAUUUAAAACUCAUUAGUUCAAAAUUAUUCUUUCUCUUUCUUCAAAAUUCUAUCUCUGGCUUCUAUAUUGACUCCUGCAAUUGUAAUGUACCCAACUGUCUACAUUUAAAAUAUCAGGAUCAUCACAAAAGGGGGAUAGACUUACCUGAAGUCUUUUAAUGAUUCCAGUAUUAUUUAUGGAGUGAUAUUCCAAUUUUUAGUGUAGCACUCAAGUCCCAUUAAGAUCUAAGAAGCAACCCCACCCCCCUGCAGUCUCUCUGAAUAGUUUAUUAUCUUAACUAUUUUUUAUUAUCUUCCCUCCUCCCCCCGCCACCACUUUUCUGUACUAGUCUAUUAAUGUCACUGGAAAAUUGAGAAUUAAAUUAAUGAAAUGAGGCAAAAGUACUCCGUAAACUACAAAGCCCUCUAUAAAUGUUAGUAUGAAAUCCUUAUCUAUAAUUCAAAAAUGCAAGUUUUUUUUGUGAAGUCUUUUCAAAUAUAACGUCUAUAAUAUCUAAACUCACACAGCAUUUUUUAUGCCUUUUUCACUAAGAUACAUGAAUGAUCUAUUCUGUCAGAUAAAAAUAUUUUUAGUAGUGUGAACAAUUAA